rnacentral:rRNA from 1 species
CCUACGGGAGGCAGCAGUGGGGAAUUUUGGACAAUGGGCGAAAGCCUGAUCCAGCAAUGCCGCGUGAGUGAAGAAGGCCUUCGGGUUGUAAAGCUCUUUUGUCAGGGAAGAAACGGUGAGAGCUAAUAUCUCUUGCUAAUGACGGUACCUGAAGAAUAAGCACCGGCUAACUACGUGCCAGCAGCCGCGGUAAUACGUAGGGUGCAAGCGUUAAUCGGAAUUACUGGGCGUAAAGCGUGCGCAGGCGGUUUUGUAAGUCUGAUGUGAAAUCCCCGGGCUCAACCUGGGAAUUGCAUUGGAGACUGCAAGGCUAGAAUCUGGCAGAGGGGGGUAGAAUUCCACGUGUAGCAGUGAAAUGCGUAGAUAUGUGGAGGAACACCGAUGGCGAAGGCAGCCCCCUGGGUCAAGAUUGACGCUCAUGCACGAAAGCGUGGGGAGCAAACAGGAUUAGAUACCCUGGUAGUCCACGCCCUAAACGAUGUCUACUAGUUGUCGGGUCUUAAUUGACUUGGUAACGCAGCUAACGCGUGAAGUAGACCGCCUGGGGAGUUACGGUUCGCAAAGAUUAAAACUUAAAUUGAAUUGACGGG